rnacentral:rRNA from 1 species
UACGGAGGGUGCGAGCGUUGUCCGGAAUCACUGGGCGUAAGGGCGCGUAGGCGGCCUGAUAAGUAGGGGGUGAAAUCCUGCGGCUUAACCGCAGGGCUGCCUUCUAAACUGUCGGGCUAGAGCACGGUAGAGGCAGAUGGAAUUCCCGGUGUAGCGGUGGAAUGCGUAGAGAUCGGGAAGAACAUCAGUGGCGAAGGCGGUCUGCUGGGCCGUUGCUGACGCUGAGGCGCG